rnacentral:ncRNA from 1 species
GUAACUGAGAAGUUACAUCUGAAGAAAGCGAGACUACAAAACUCGGUACUGACCCUUCGGCUAUGCUCAGGAUAAACCAAGCAGGAACCGUAUACGAAGGCAUAUUCAUCUGGGUAUGCAAGCACACUUCGGCAGGCUCAGUACAUCGCAUUAUUGUAACGCCCCAAGAGAACCAAAAGGAUGAUUAUGUAGAUACGGCAGUUAUUGAGCGAAACCUGCCUGC